UCGAGGAUCUUCGGCAAUGGGCGCAAGCCUGACCGAGCGACGCCGCGUGCGCGAUGAAGGCCUUCGGGUUGUAAAGCGCUGUCGAGGGGGAGGAAGCCGCAAGGUUGACCUAUCCCUGGAGGAAGGACGGGCUAAGUUCGUGCCAGCAGCCGCGGUAAGACGAACCGUCCUAACGUUGUUCGGAAUCACUGGGCUUAAAGGGCGCGUAGGCGGGCUGCCAAGUCCGGGGUGAAAUCUUUCGGCUCAACCGGAAAAUAGCCUUGGAUACUGGCAGUCUCGAGUGAGGUAGGGGCGGGUGGAACUUCCGGUGGAGCGGUGAAAUGCGUUGAUAUCGGAAGGAACGCCGGUGGCGAAAGCGACCCGCUGGACCUCUUCUGACGCUGAGGCGCGAAAGCCAGGGGAGCAAACG
rnacentral:rRNA from 1 species